AGAGUUUGAUUAUGGCUCAGGAUGAACGCUAGCGGCAGGCUUAACACAUGCAAGUCGAGGGGCAGCGGGAUGUAGCAAUACAUUGCCGGCGACCGGCGGAUGGGUGCGUAACGCGUAUGCAACCUACCUUAUACAGGGGAAUAACCUUUCGAAAGGGAGACUAACACCCCAUAGUAUUGAUUUAAGGCAUCUUAGAUUAAUUAAAUAUUUAUAGGUAUAAGAUGGGCAUGCGUAUGAUUAGCUAGUUGGUAAGGUAACGGCUUACCAAGGCGACGAUCAUUAGGGGUUCUGAGAGGAAGGUCCCCCACACUGGUACUGAGACACGGACCAGACUCCUACGGGAGGCAGCAGUGAGGAAUAUUGGUCAAUGGGCGCAAGCCUGAACCAGCCAUGCCGCGUGCCAGGAAGACGGCCUUAUGGGUUGUAAACUGCUUUUACAUAAGACUAACCGUAUAUUUGCGAAUAUACCUGAAUGUAUUAUGAGAAUAAGGAUCGGCUAACUCCGUGCCAGCCGCGGC
rnacentral:rRNA from 1 species